rnacentral:lncRNA from 1 species
UGGCGGCGGAUGUGGAGUUUGACCGUUGUUGUUGGUGGCGGCGACGGAACCCUAGCGAGAGUUACUACUUCUUCUUCUUCUUCUUUCGCUGCUCUUGCUACUGCUUCAGUUUGAUCUCUGCUGGAGACUGUAAUAUUGCUGCUGUUGAGCUUGAAGGUGUCGGUGGCUUGUGAACAGUGGUUGUGUUUGCGUUUGGAUUUUGCUAUUGAAGAAGAAGAAGAUGCGAGCCGUGGUGCUUCUGCUUCUUUGCUUGAUUCGCCUUCUUUCUAACUGUUUAGGUAACGAUUGAUGUGCUUAGUUUAGUUAAUGCGUGUGAAUUUAGAUGAAAAUUGGCAUAGUUGGAGUUGAAUUGACCAGAACUGAAAUAAUGUAAGUAAAAGAGUAAGACUUUGAUUUAGUUACUUGCUACCUGCUUGUUCUUCUGUUUGCUCUGCUUUAGCUAUCGAGUUUGCGUUUAGGAGUUGUGUAGGGUAAGCUGAUUCAGGAUGAUACGUCUUGAAUUAGAAUGUAGAGUGAAGUUUCGCCAAUGCCUCGAGUUUCUUGUCAUUGAAGUGAACGCAGAACGAGAGAGAGAGAGAGAGAGAGAGAGAGAGA